rnacentral:rRNA from 1 species
CCCUUAGAUGUUCUGGGCCGCACGCGUGCUACACUGAGUGGAUCAGCGGGUCAGGUUGCGCGAAAGUGUUUCCUAAUCUUUAAAUCCGCUCGUGAUGGGGAUUGACGGUUGCAAUUUUCCGUCAUGAACGAGGAAUACCUUGUAAGCGCGGGUCAUCAUCCCGCGCUGAAUACGUCCCUGCCCUUUGUACACACCGCCCGUCGCUCCUACCGAUUGAAUGGUCCGGUGAAAUCUUGGGAUUUUGUUUUGUUUGCAUUUAUUUGUAUCGAGACGAGAGAACUUGAGUAAACCUUACCAUUUAGAGGAAGGUGAAGUCGUAACA